CUUGGCCCAAGGGAGGAACUAUGUUUUUUCUGAGGAUCUCUUGAGAUCCACCAGCCCAUGGUAAAUUCUGGCAACAUUAAAAAUGUUCCAUUUAUUAACAAAUAACCGCUAUAUAACAAAUCACUCCAAAACAUAGUGUCUCAAGACAACAACCAUUUUAUUAUAUUCCAGAAUUCUAUGGGUCAGGAAUUUGGAUAUGGUUUGACAGGAUGGUUCUUCUGUUCUCUGUGGUGUUGACCAAGAUCACUUGGUGGUGAUACUGGCUGGCAGAUGGGCUGGAGGUUCACGAUGGCCUUAUUCUGUGUGCCGGGAGCCCUGGCUGGAAGGCUGAACUUAGCUGGGACAUUGCAAGGAACUCCUCCACAUGGCUUCUCCAGCACGCUCAAGAAAGUACUACUACUGUCCACUGCAAUCCAAGCCUGUAGCAUAAAAUCUGACAUGUCAAAGGCAAGAGAAGAAAGGAAAGGCAAUGAAUGUACCUAUGGAGGGAAGGACUGGAUGUCACAGUAACAGCAUUGUGCCUUGGACACAAAAGGAUUUGUAGAAGCGUGAAAGCCCCCAAAUAAAUCUACAUGCAAGUAAUUUACUAAGUGGCAACCUACAGCCCAAAGAGCUCAAUGUGACUCCUACAAUUCCAGAAAGAAUAAAUUUCUCAGCUACAAUCUGUAUUGGUCUCCAGUAUUCCAGUUGGAGACUGGACUGUGGUUAAAUCCAGAUGGAAACUCAUCUAUUUUGUGGUAGCAAAAGCAGUUCUGUUUCAUAUGACUGAUUCUUUGGGGGCAGCCCCUAAAUGUGAUAAUGAUGGCGUUUUGAAAGACACUGUUAUGAAUCAGACAGAUGAAUAAAUCAAGCAAAUAUAAGGAAUGGCCUUAUAUAUAGAGCUUAUGUACUGAGAGAACCUUCUUCAUAAAAAAUACUGUAUUUUUAUAGGUAUGAACUGAUUCCAUGACUCUUUAUAAAGAUUAUCUUUGUAGGAUUUGCAUAGUAUGUCUACUUGAUAAACAUGACUAUCAUUUCCUAAGGAAGUGGGGUAUGGGUAGGAGAGGAGCAUUUAACAGGAGAAAAUAUGAUAUGGGGGUUUCAAAGAAUUAGAGAAUGCUGAUAUCGGGAAAAAGGGAUCUUAGAGUUAAUGUAGCUCAGUCUAAUAUUACUUAAGACCAGAGGUGGUUAUUUAUUUUCCCAAUGUCACACAUCUAGUAAGUGUUCAAGCCAAGAUUUGAACCUGGGUCUACUGACUCCAAAUCCAAGGCUCUUAGACUAUCUUAAUAUUUUAGUCCCAAAACUUACAUGAUACUGACUGCUUAUAGUCUAUUAAUUGGGCUAGGUAACUACAAGAUUAUACAACAGAUCAACUCUGAAGUCUCAGAGGUUCAGCAAACAAAGCUCAUGUGAAGUCAAGUGCGGCUAAGUGGGGCUUCCCUCUGUCCAGGGAACUAGAUGACCAGACUGUCUCUUCAACUUGAACCACCUCCAUAUCACAGGAGGCUUUAGGUCACUACAUUAGUGAAAAAAAGGAAUGUGGAUUAUCACACAAAUUCUUAAAUGCUUCAACCUGAAAGUUGUAUAUAUUACUUCCACUCACAUUCCAUUGGCUAGAAUUAACUCUAGGGCUCCAUCUAAAUCAAAUGGUUUUGGAAAGUAUAAUCUCCCCACCAUGUGCCCAGGAAGGAGAUGAGAAAUAGGUGAAUACUUUUAACCUCUCUCCCAUGUGCAUACCUCGUUUUCAAGAAGCAGAGAAUAAAGUAAUAUUACUAAA